rnacentral:rRNA from 1 species
CCUACGGGCGGCAGCAGUCGAGAAUCAUUCACAAUGGGGGAAACUCUGAUGGUGCGACGCCGCGUGGGGGAAUGAAGGUCUUCGGAUUGUAAACCCCUGUCAUGUGGGAGCAAAUUAAAAAGAUAGUACCACAAGAGGAAGAGACGGCUAACUCUGUGCCAGCAGCCGCGGUAAUACAGAGGUCUCAAGCGUUGUUCGGAAUCACUGGGCGUAAAGCGUGCGUAGGCUGUUUCGUAAGUCGUGUGUGAAAGGCGCGGGCUCAACCCGCGGACGGCACAUGAUACUGCGAGACUAGGGUAAUGGAGGGGGAACCGGAAUUCUCGGUGUAGCAGUGAAAUGCGUAGAUAUCGAGAGGAACACUCGUGGCGAAGGCGGGUUCCUGGACAUUAACUGACGCUGAGGCACGAAGGCCAGGGGAGCGAAAGGGAUUAGAUACCCUUGUAGUC